rnacentral:lncRNA from 1 species
GGGAUUGAAUCAAGGGGAUUGAGGUUGGUUGGUGAGCCGAGUUAAAACCAACGUGUGUAAGGGUUUGAUUGUGAUCCCGGGAAAACAAUCGGGGCGGUUCUAGUCGGUGAGCCUGGAAAAACCAACCGAGUUCGUUGUGAGCUCGUAAAACAACAAGUUUGGUUGUGAGCUUGGAAAACAACCGGCUGUAAUCCAAGGGGGUUAUAGUGAAUUCCCAAGUGAGACUUGGGGAGUGGACGUAGGAGCAAGGGUUAGCUCCGAACCACUAUAAAACUCUGUGUUUG